rnacentral:rRNA from 1 species
ACGAAGGGGGCUAGCGUUGCUCGGAAUUACUGGGCGUAAAGGGAGCGUAGGCGGACAUUUAAGUCAGAGGUGAAAUCCCGGAGCUUAACUUCGGAACUGCCUUUGAUACUGGGUGUCUUGAGUGUGAGAGAGGUAUGUGGAACUCCGAGUGUAGAGGUGAAAUUCGUAGAUAUUCGGAAGAACACCAGUGGCGAAGGCGACAUACUGGCUCAUUACUGACGCUGAGGCUCGAAAGCGUGGGGAGCAAACAGGA